AGAAAUUAAAAUGUUAUUUAAAGUAACCUCAAUGCCAGCUUCAGUGAAUAAAGUUAGGGUCUCAAGAGACUGUCUGCAGAGUCAUUAUGUUGUAACACUGUUAAAAGUCAUUCAGUUCCAGACCGGAAAUAUUAUAAAAAUGGGCAACGUGUUCCCUGUCCAGCUGUUCUCAGAAUGCCCAGAUCUUGGCAACCACAACAAGGAUCGAAAAGUAGAGAUACGUGCAUUUCGUCUGGAAGUUUCAAAGCUCUCAUCCCAGGAACGUUCCACAGAGUCUGGAGCCUGAGGCCCAGCGGCCAAGUGGCGGCCUUCACUGUGCUUCGAGGACCCCAUCUCACCCCUCCUGGUCUGAAGGA